GCUGAAAAAUGCUCGUAAAUUCUUAGAAAAAGGCGAUAAAGUAAAAGCGGCCGUUCGUUUCCGCGGACGCGCUAUUACGCAUAAAGAAUUAGGACGAGAAGUGCUUGAUCGGUUUGCUGAGGAAGUAAAAGACAUUGCGACUGUAGAGACAAAGCCGAAAAUGGAAGGUCGUAAUAUGUUUAUGAUGCUUGCUCCAGUAAAUGAAAAAUAAAUUGCAGUUGUUGAGUGUAAGAGACUGUUAGAUAUGUUACAAGGAGGAAAAACACUAUGCCAAAAAUGAAAACCCAUAAAGGUUCUCA
rnacentral:misc_RNA from 1 species